CCUACGGGGGGCAGCAGUGGGGAAUAUUGGACAAUGGGGGGAACCCUGAUCCAGCCAUGCCGCGUGUGUGAAGAAGGCCCUCGGGUUGUAAAGCACUUUCAGUGAGGAAGAACGCCUGGUGGUUAAUACCCAUCAGGAAAGACAUCACUCACAGAAGAAGCACCGGCUAACUCCGUGCCAGCAGCCGCGGUAAUACGGAGGGUGCGAGCGUUAAUCGGAAUUACUGGGCGUAAAGCGCGCGUAGGUGGCUUGAUAAGCCGGUUGUGAAAGCCCCGGGCUCAACCUGGGAACGGCAUCCGGAACUGUCAAGCUAGAGUGCAGGAGAGGAAGGUAGAAUUCCCGGUGUAGCGGUGAAAUGCGUAGAGAUCGGGAGGAAUACCAGUGGUGAAGGCGGCCUUCUGGACUGACACUGACACUGAGGUGCGAAAGCGUGGGUAGCAAACAGGAUUAGAUACCCCAGUAGUC
rnacentral:rRNA from 1 species